CCGAGUUUACAACUCCCAAACCCCUGUGAACAUACCACUUGUUGCCUCGGCGGAUCAGCCCGCUCCCGGUAAAACGGGACGGCCCGCCAGAGGACCCCUAAACUCUGUUUCUAUAUGUAUCUUCUGAGUAAAACCAUAAAUAAAUCA
rnacentral:misc_RNA from 1 species